GAUGAACGCUGGCGGCGUGCCUAAUACAUGCAAGUCGAGCGAACAGACGAGGAGCUUGCUCCUCUGACGUUAGCGGCGGACGGGUGAGUAACACGUGGAUAACAUACCUAUAAGACUGGGAUAACUUCGGGAAACCGGAGCUAAUACCGGAUAAUAUAUUGAACCGCAUGGUUCAAUAGUGAAAGACGGUUUUGCUGUCACUUAUAGAUGGAUCCGCGCCGCAUUAGCUAGUUGGUAAGGUAACGGCUUACCAAGGCGACGAUGCGUAGCCGACCUGAGAGGGUGAUCAGCCACACUGGAACUGAGACACGGUCCAGACUCCUACGGGAGGCAGCAGUAGGGAAUAUUCCGCAAUGGGCGAAAGCCUGACGGAGCAACGCCGCGUGAGUGAUGAAGGUCUUCGGAUCGUAAAACUCUGUUAUUAGGGAAGAACAAAAGUGUAAGUAACUAUGCACGUCUUGACGGUACCUAAUCAGAAAGCCCCGGCUAACUACGUG
rnacentral:rRNA from 1 species